AUGAACCAGAAUGCUAGCCCCGGCCCGGACGGCUUCGGUCCGGGUUUCUACCGGAAGUUUUGGUCCGUUCUAAAGAGGAAAAUUAAGGACUUUUUCCUCGAGUUUCAUGAUCUCCAAAGCGACAUCUCCUGCCUAAACAGAGCCCUCAUCAUCCUUCUCCCUAAAUCCAAAGACGCCCGAUCUCCCGCCGACUUUCGUCCCAUUUCGCUUCAAAACGGCCCCAUUAAAGGAGUCUCUAAACUUCUUACCAAUCGACUCAAGCCACUUAUCCCUCUCCUUGUCCACGCUGACCAAACGGGUUUCCUCUCCGGCCGUAACAUCUCUGAAAACUUUCUAUACGCUGCUGAUAUCCUUCAUUGUUGUGCCAAACAUAAAGCUCCCUCCCUGGUUGUCAAAUUAGACUUUCGCAAAGCCUUCGACUCUGUCUGCUGGUCCUCCCUCCUUUGCACUCUUUGUACUCGUGGUUUCCCACAACGUUGGUGCGACUGGAUCGAAGCAUUGCUCCGCACUGGUUCAACUGCGGUCAUGCUUAAUGGUGUCCCGGGCAGAUGGAUCCAGUGCAAGAAUGGACUACGCCAGGGUGAUCCGCUCUCGCCCUACCUCUUCAUCAUUAUCGCCGACAUUCUCCAGCAACUUAUUAUCAAAGCCAAUCAUGAUGGGCUUCUCUUGCACCCUCUCAAUCCCACCCUGCCCUGUCCGGUCCUUCAAUACGCUGACGAUACCCUCAUUAUUGUCAAAGCAACCCCCGAGGCUGCCUCGCACCUGGAGCGAACCUUAGAUAACUUUGCAGCCGCCACAGGUCUCAAAAUCAACUUUCACAAAACCACUUUCAUCCCGCUUAAUGUGGACUCGGAGCUUGCCACUAAGAUGGCCUCCGACCUAGCCACUAACAUCUCCUCCUUCCCACAAACCUAUCUUGGGCUCCCUCUCUCCCCCUACAAGCUGCCCCCGUCGGCCUUCCAACCAAUCAUUGACAGAUGUGAUAUCUAUCUCUCUGGCUGGGCUGCCCUCCUUCUCUCUCGCGGUGUUAACUCGUCUUGUUGUCAGCAGUCCUUGAUAGCCUACCCGCCUACUUCAUGCUCUGCUUUUCACUCCCUAUUAGUGUCCUUGAAGCCAUUGAUAAGCGCAGACGUACCUUUUUCUGGUCUAAUGAUGAGAUUUGCUCUGGGGCUAAGUAUCUGGUAG
rnacentral:rRNA from 1 species